UAUCUGACUUUAACGGGCAAGUGACACACCGGCCUGUUAUCCUUCCAAUGGCGACCUUCAUUGCACUUAGGAGGGGCGCUAACCUAAGGUCGGCCCAAGUGGUCGAGCCUACGUCAUAAUUUGUGUUAGAGGGGGCUUGCGUUCGCGCAGCCCCUGC